UUUGCACAUUGUUAGAACCUGGAGCUGAGGCCAAUGUGGCCGAUGAACUCUGGGUGUAGGAAAUGUGCUACAUAAUCAUGCAGGCGCCUUUAACAUUGCUUGAGUCUAUGUGGCUCACCCAGUGAAGCUUUGUAGCAAUGCCUGCUACAUCA